rnacentral:rRNA from 1 species
GGGUUGUGAGGUUAAGCGACUAAGCGUACACGGUGGAUGCCCUGGCAGUCAGAGGCGAUGAAGGACGUGCUAAUCUGCGAUAAGCGUCGGUAAGGUGAUAUGAACCGUUAUAACCGGCGAUUUCCGAAUGGGGAAACCCAGUGUGAUUCGUCACACUAUCAUUAACUGAAUCCAUAGGUUAAUGAGGCGAACCGGGGGAACUGAAACAUCUAAGU